rnacentral:rRNA from 1 species
CCCCGCACAAGCAGCGGAGCGUGUGGUUUAAUUCGAUGUUACACGAAGAACCUUACCAGGGUUUGACAUGCAAGUGGUAGGAAGCCGAAAGGUGACCGACCCUUCGGGGAGCUUGCACAGGUGCUGCAUGGCUGUCGUCAGCUCGUGUCGUGAGAUGUUCGGUUAAGUCCGCUAACGAGCGCAACCCUCGCUGUGUGUUAUAUGUGUCACACGGGACUGCCGGUCUUAAGCCGGAGGAAGGUGGGGAUGAUGUCAAGUCAGCAUGGCCUUUAUAUCCUGGGCUACACACACGCUACAAUGGCCAACACAAUAGGUUGCUAAGCCGCGAGGUGGCGCCAAUCCAUAAAGUUGGUCUCAGUUCAGAUUGUAGGCUGCAACCCGCCUGCAUGAAGAUGGAGUUGCUAGUAACCGCAGGUCAGCUAUACUGCGGUGAAUACGUUCCCGGGGCUU